CGUCUCCUACGGGGCGCAGCAGUGAGGAAUAUUGGUCAAUGGUCGGGAGACUGAACCAGCCAAGUCGCGUGAGGGAAGACUGCCCUAUGGGUUGUAAACCUCUUUUGUCAGGGAGCAACGCCGGCUACGUGUAGCCGGACUGAGAGUACCUGAAGAAAAAGCAUCGGCUAACUCCGUGCCAGCAGCCGCGGUAAUACGGAGGAUGCGAGCGUUAUCCGGAUUUAUUGGGUUUAAAGGGUGCGUAGGCGGAAUGCCAAGUCAGCGGUAAAAUC
rnacentral:rRNA from 1 species